CGGAUAAUGAAAUAAAUCGAUCUUUAUAUAUACACCACUUGGAUCCCGUUUCAGUAAUAAUGAAAUCAGACCUUAUUGAGUGUCUGAUAAUCUACCAUUCAUAUAGGAGUGGUUAAAACAUGCUAAUAACGGACCUCCUCAGUAUAUCAAAAAAAGUUUGGUAUACCUCCACUGAUAUGUCAUCCAGCCCUGGAGUUUUCCCUGGCCUUGCCAUCCAGCCCUGGAGUUUUCCCUGGCCUCGUCAUCCAGCCCUGGAGUUUUCCCAGAAUUAAAGGCUUUAAUCGCAUCAAGAAGUUCCUCCUCCGUAAUUUGGCCUUCACAUGAGUCUUUCUGUACAGAUGUUAAUUUCAUUAAUGGUAAAAAAUCCAUACAAUUAGCUUCGAUUAGUGGAGAUGGAGGAAACUGAAACGAAAACAUUUGCUUAAAGUACUUUACUUCCUCUUUCAAAAUAUCGUUUGGUGAAUCAUGGGCAAUUACAUCAUUUGUAGUUUCAGUCAAUUAUUUUUGGUAGCAUUUCUAUGUUGAAGAUUAAAAAGGAAUUUGGUGCAUUUUUUGCCCCAUAUUCCAUCCAGUUUGCUUUAUUUUUUAUAAUAUAUUACACUGGAUCUUUCUUCAAUAAGUUCCUCCGUUUCUUUGACCUGGCACUGUUUCCCAAUGCUAACGUUUUAGCAUUUGUGUCACACAUCUCAUUCGAGUCAUGGUACCGAUGUUAGCAUUACGGUAUGUACCAAUCAUCUAGCAGAAGAGAAGAUGCAAAACGAGAGGGUUUACUUCGCCCCGAAAUCUCUCAAUAAGUGUCGGAUUGUAAAACAAAAAAGUGAACUGCUAAUUUGCUACGUGAGGUUUAUAUGCAGACUAGGGCGUGCGUCAUCGCCCGCAUGUUGAUUUGGUACAUCCACACCAGACGCAAAUCUGGACUCGUAGGUUGAAAUACCAAAACAAACUGAACCAACUAACACAGUAAUGGACAUUUGGCUAGCUAGCUCGCGGUUGCUAGCUAACAUUAGUCCUGGGAUAUAAACAUUGGGUUGUUAUUUUACCUGAAAUGCACAAGCACCUUUUUUUUCCCCCUGGAUCUUUCUCGAAUUUUGACCCAUUGUGUGUUCUCUACUCGGACAAUUAAUCCACAGAUAAAAGGGGAAACCGAGUUGGUUUAUAGUGAUCAUUAUCUUCUUCUUCUGUGGACUUUAUAUGGCGGUUGGUAACCAACUUUAAGGUGCAUUACCACCACCAACUGGACUGGAGUGUGGACUUCAGUUCAUCUUUCAAUCAUGGGUAUAUGCUCCUAAAAAAACAAUGAGUAGAUGGGAGUGGCGGGACUUGCAGCAUGUCAUCUAAACUACUUGUGCAAAUUAAUGAGCGUCUGUUUGGCUACUUGGCUCUAUUUCCAAACUGCCAAACGCGCAUCUGCAUCGGUCUAGUCAGCAUGUGAGGUUGUUACAAAUGCACUGUUAUAAAUGGACGCCAUGGCAACUGUGAAAAACAACAACAACAACAAAAUGUAUAUGGGAGUUGUGCCUGUUGUUUACACGCAUAUCUGCCCUCUCAUUGGCUAGAAUGGUCCCACUCAAUUAUCUUGUCAAUAUAAUAGAACACCUUUGCUGUAAAGUGACUUUGUUGAGAUUCACAAUCCAUUUGAGAUACUUUCCAGAUGAUUUGGACACGAUGCCGGAAAAUGCUAACAACGUGAAUGGGAUUUGUGCCAAAAAAUGCUAACAACGUGAAUGGGAUUUGUGCCAAAAAAAUGCUAACAACGUGAAUGGGAUUUGUGCCAAAAAAAUGCUAAAACAGUGUCAGGAAAUUAAAACCAAAUCAUGGAAUGCCGUCAUACCUUUUUCCAUUAGACUGCUUACAGGGUAAGGCAAAUCAAUUGUGUGAUUUUGUCAUUUGGGUGAACUGUCCCUUUAAUGGACUCCUUUUAGAAAAUCAGCUGAGUUAUUUAAGGCCCAUCUCUUCUCCCACCAUGAUAUCGAUCCUCCGCUGGAACAUCAAUGACUUCACACUAACAAAUGGCACCCAACUCGUACAGGUUUUCUCCAAUGACUUCACACUAACAAAUGGCACCCAACUCGUACAGGUUUUCUCCAAUGACUUCACACUAACAAAUGGCACCCAACUCGUACAGGUUUUCUCCAAUGACUUCACACUAACAAAUGGCACCCAACUCGUACAGGUUUUCUCCAAUGACUUCACACUAACAAAUGGCACCCAACUUUUUUCUCCUCACAGAAAGGAUGGAAAUAAUCAAACAAAAACACAGGAAAAACCAAGAGCAGAAUAAAGUAUAAAACUGCUCUCUCUCCCCCCCCUCC
ensembl:lncRNA